UUUUUGGCGGCAGGCUUAACACAUGCAAGUCGAGCGGAUGAAGGGAGCUUGCUCCUGGAUUCAGCGGCGGACGGGUGAGUAAUGCCUAGGAAUCUGCCUGGUAGUGGGGGAUAACGUCCGGAAACGGGCGCUAAUACCGCAUACGUCCUGAGGGAGAAAGUGGGGGAUCUUCGGACCUCACGCUAUCAGAUGAGCCUAGGUCGGAUUAGCUAGUUGGUGGGGUAAAGGCCUACCAAGGCGACGAUCCGUAACUGGUCUGAGAGGAUGAUCAGUCACACUGGAACUGAGACACGGUCCAGACUCCUACGGGAGGCAGCAGUGGGGAAUAUUGGACAAUGGGCGAAAGCCUGAUCCAGCCAUGCCGCGUGUGUGAAGAAGGUCUUCGGAUUGUAAAGCACUUUAAGUUGGGAGGAAGGGCAGUAAGUUAAUACCUUGCUGUUUUGACGUUACCAACAGAAUAAGCACCGGCUAACUUCGUGCCAGCAGCCGCGGUAAUACGAAGGGUGCAAGCGUUAAUCGGAAUUACUGGGCGUAAAGCGCGCGUAGGUGGUUCAGCAAGUUGGAUGUGAAAUCCCCGGGCUCAACCUGGGAACUGCAUCCAAAACUACUGAGCUAGAGUACGGUAGAGGGUGGUGGAAUUUCCUGUGUAGCGGUGAAAUGCGUAGAUAUAGGAAGGAACACCAGUGGCGAAGGCGACCACCUGGACUGAUACUGACACUGAGGUGCGAAAGCGUGGGGAGCAAACAGGAUUAGAUACCCUGGUAGUCCACGCCGUAAACGAUGUCGACUAGCCGUUGGGAUCCUUGAGAUCUUAGUGGCGCAGCUAACGCGAUAAGUCGACCGCCUGGGGAGUACGGUCCGCAAGGUUAAAACUUCAAAUGAAUUGACGGGGGCCCGCACAAGCGGUGGGAGCAUGUUGGUUUUAAUUCGAAGCAACG
rnacentral:rRNA from 1 species